rnacentral:rRNA from 1 species
UAAGGAAUAUUGCUCAAUGGGAGAAAUCCUGAAGCAGCAACGCCGCGUGGAGGAUGAAGGGUCUAUGACUUGUAAACUCCUGUAAAGAAGGAAAAAAUUCCCAUUUGAUGGGAGAUGAUGGUACUUCUGGAGUAAGCCCCGGCUGACUACGUGCCAGCAGCCGCGGUAAUACGUAGGGGGCAAGCGUUGUCCGGAUUUACUGGGUGUAAAGGGUGCUCAGGCGGAUUUGUAAGUCAGAGGUGAAAUCUUACAGCUUAACUGUGAAACUGCCUUUGAUACUGCAAGCCUAGAGUAUGGAAGAGAGUGAUGGAAUAUCUGGUGUAGCAGUGAAAUGCGUAGAUAUCAGAUAGAACACCAAUGGCGAAGGCAGUCACUUGGUCCAUUACUGACGCUAAAGCACGAAAGCGUGGGUAGCAAACA